CCACGCGUGUGUGAAGAAGGUCUUCGGAUUGUAAAGCACUUUAAGUUGGGAGGAAGGGCAUUAACCUAAUACGUUAGUGUUUUGACGUUACCGACAGAAUAAGCACCGGCUAACUCUGUGCCAGCAGCCGCGGUAAUACAGAGGGUGCAAGCGUUAAUCGGAAUUACUGGGCGUAAAGCGCGCGUAGGUGGUUUGUUAAGUUGAAUGUGAAAUCCCCGGGCUCAACCUGGGAACUGCAUCCAAAACUGGCAAGCUAGAGUAUGGUAGAGGGUAGUGGAAUUUCCUGUGUAGCGGUGAAAUGCGUAGAUAUAGGAAGGAACACCAGUGGCGAAGGCGACUACCUGGACUGAUACUGACACUGAGGUGCGAAAGCGUGAGGAGCAAACAGGAUUAGAUACCCUGGUAGUCCACGCCGUAAACGAUGUCAACUAGCCGUUGGGAGUCUUGAACUCUUACCUUGCGCAGCUAACGCAUUAAGUUGACCGCCUGGGAGUACGGCCGCAAGGUUAAAACUCAAAUGAAUUGACGGGGGCCCGCACAAGCGGUGGAGCAUGUGGUUUAAUUCGAAGCAACGUGAAGAACCUUACCAGGCCUUGACAUCCAAUGAACUUUCCAGAGA
rnacentral:rRNA from 1 species